GGCGCCGGUCGUGGGGCUCCCGGUCUCCGGGACGGGGUUCGACUCCCCGCGGUGUC
rnacentral:sRNA from 1 species